UGGACGCAGCUCUGCGCUGUUUCAGGAGUGCCAGGAACCCACGUUCGCCUCUCCGGUGGCUUUUGGGGUGUGUCAUCCGGAGACCAUCUGGUUCCAGUGUGUCUGAGAUGGCAUGGAUGAGUGUUUGGGGACCUGUUUAGAGCUCAGCCACCAGGCACAUCUCAGCUAAGGAUUAGAAACUGCUCUGUUCCCACACCGGCCGUGGCCCGAAGCACAGAAACCAUGCCUGCUUUUCCAACACAUCGCUGUGAUAUUUGGUUAGAAGGGGAUUAAGGAUACGAAAAAGAA